GAUGAACGCUGGCGGCGUGCCUAAUACAUGCAAGUCGAGCGAACAGACGAGGAGCUUGCUCCUUCGACGUUAGCGGCGGACGGGUGAGUAACACGUAGGUAACCUACCUAUAAGACUGGGAUAACUUCGGGAAACCGGAGCUAAUACCGGAUAAUAUUUCGAACCGCAUGGUUCGAUAGUGAAAGAUGGCUUUGCUAUCACUUAUAGAUGGACCUGCGCCGUAUUAGCUAGUUGGUAAGGUAACGGCUUACCAAGGCAACGAUACGUAGCCGACCUGAGAGGGUGAUCGGCCACACUGGAACUGAGACACGGUCCAGACUCCUACGGGAGGCAGCAGUAGGGAAUCUUCCGCAAUGGGCGAAAGCCUGACGGAGCAACGCCGCGUGAGUGAUGAAGGUCUUCGGAUCGUAAAUCUCUGUUAUUAGGGAAGAACAAACGUGUAAGUAACUGUGCACGUCUUGACGGUACCUAAUCAGAAAGCCACGGCUAACUACGU
rnacentral:rRNA from 1 species